CAUAGCGGAACCGCAUGGUUCUGUUAUCAAAGAUUUUAUCGCUGAUAGAUGGGCUCGCGUCCGAUUAGAUAGUUGGUGGGGUAACGGCCUACCAAGUCGACGAUCGGUAGCCGGACUGAGAGGUCGAACGGCCACAUUGGGACUGAGACACGGCCCAGACUCCUACGGGAGGCAGCAGUGGGGGAUAUUGCACAAUGGGGGAAACCCUGAUGCAGCGACGCCGCGUGAGGGAAGACGGUCCUCUGGAUUGUAAACCUCUGUCUUCGGGGACGAAACGAGACGAUACCCGAGGAGGAAGCCACGGCUAACUACGUGCCAGCAGCCGCGGUAAUACGUAGGUGGCAAGCGUUGUCCGGAAUUACUGGGUGUAAAGGGAGCGUAGGCGGGCAGGCAAGUCAGGCGUGAAAUAUAUCGGCUCAACCGGUAACGGCGCUUGAAACUGCAGGUCUUGAGUGAAGUAGAGGUUGGCGGAAUUCCUAGUGUAGCGGUGAAAUGCGUAGAUAUUAGGAGGAACACCAGUGGCGAAGGCGGCCAACUGGGCUUUUACUGACGCUGAGGCUCGAAAGUGUGGGGAGCAAACAGGAUUAGAUACCCUGGUAGUCCACACCGUAAACGAUGAUUACUAGGUGUGGGGGGAC
rnacentral:rRNA from 1 species